rnacentral:rRNA from 1 species
CAUUGGAAACUGGGAAACUUGAGUACAGAAAAGGAAUGUGGAACUCCAUGUGUAGCGGUGGAAUGCGUAGAUAUAUGGAAGAACACCAGUGGCGAAGGCGACAUUCUGGUCUGUUACUGACACUGAGGCUCGAAAGCGUGGGGAGCAAACAGGAUUAGAUACCCUGGUAGUCCACGCCGUAAACGAUGAGUGCUAGGUGUUGGAGGGUUUCCGCCYUUCAGUGSCGCAGUUAACGCAUUAAGCACUCCGCCUGGGGAGUACGRCCGCAAGGUURAAACUCAAAGGAAUUGACGGGGRCCCGCACAAGCGGUGGAGCAUGUGGUUUAAUUSGAAGCAACGCGAAGAACCUUWCCAAGUCUUACAUCCUUUACCACCCAGAGAUAGGGCU